rnacentral:rRNA from 1 species
UACGUAGGGUGCGAGCGUUAAUCGGAAUUACUGGGCGUAAAGCGUGCGCAGGCGGCGCGUUAAGACAGGUGUGAAAGCCCCGAGCUUAACUUGGGAAUUGCGCUUGUGACUGGCGUGCUGGAGUGUGGCAGAGGGAGGUGGAAUUCCACGUGUAGCAGUGAAAUGCGUAGAGAUGUGGAGGAACACCAAUGGCGAAGGCAGCCCCCUGGGCCAGCACUGACGCUCAUGCACGAAAGCGUGGGGAGCAAACAGG